rnacentral:tRNA from 1 species
UCCCUGGUGGUCCAGUGGUUAAGACGCCUCACUUCCGAUGAGGGGCAGGGAGGGCAGCACGGGUUUGAUCCCUGGUUAGGGAA